AAUAGAGGGAGGUGGUGUUGAAAACAACCGAGCUGAUAAUUCUAAAAGGAUAAGAAAAGCUCCUGAUCGAUCUCUUCUAGAUCAAAAUCUGUAUCACAUGGCCAGAAACCCAAUGUCAUGAAUGAGGUUAUGGAGCAAAUCGUCCUUCAAAAACUAAGGUCCAAAGGAUUAGGGAUAUGAGAGAUUACUCACAAAUUUUCUCUAAGGAUGCGGAGCGUCCAGCUCCUGCCAAGGAUUGUCGCCUUCAAAAUAUCUCUCUUCCAAAUUCUGGUGUGUUGAUAUACUGCAUCUGAUCUGGCUGUUGGGUAUUUUUCUAUGCCGGUAACUUUAUCUACUCUUCCUCGAUAGAAUUUGAAUAUCCUCAUGGCGCAAUCAUUUAAAAGAGUCAACAAGUUCAUGCAUUGUAUUUUAUUAAUCACUUCACAUGAAGGAGAAGCCAUAGAAAAACUUUUCGAUAUUAACUGGUUCCUCAAGACUACUGGGUGGUUUACGAAACUGUUCAUAUUAUAAAUUACUUUGUAAUAAUCAUUUAUGCAAAAAAUUAGUAAAAUAUGAGAUCUUUUAGUUAUUGAACAGUAUAAAAACAGAUGGAUAGGUCCAGUAAAAAGAAUUACAAACCAUUUUCUAUAGUUAAUAACUAAAAUACCUUAUUUUUAGUUGAUUUUUUGCAAAGAUAAUCAUUACAAAGUGAUUUAUAAUAUGAACGGUUUCAAUCAUCAACAUAGAAUUCU
rnacentral:sRNA from 1 species